AAAUACCUAGUAUAGUGUACGAAAAAACAGCCUGUAUCACAUUAAAAGCAAUCAAGAGAAAUUAAAAUCAGAGUUAGGAUUAAUGAGUAACAUUUAUCCCAGCACCUUUCAAGAUUAUACACAGCUCCGUACUCAGUUUGUGGACAGCCUGAGCUCAUUUGGCCUUGUGUCAAAAGAAAGUGUGAAAACAGAAAAACUGAACACAUCCCUUCAACACAAAAGGAAUUGUAAGAAUAUGUAUUAUUUGUUGCAAUUUUAGAGUUAUCUCCUAAUAUUUCAUCAUUUGUGAUUCUCAAAUGUAAUUUGAUUUUUUUUGUUGGACAGUAAGAUAGCCAAAUACCAGAUCUACGAAAAGAACAUAAGGAUUGCAGCUUAAGGUGAAUGUAAUUUAACAGUGAAAUAUUCUCUAGAAGAGGGGUGUUGUAUUAUAAAUUAAAAAAAGAAACAAGUUGCCUUCUUGUAGACAUACUUUAGUUCAUACUAAAAGAGAUAGUUAAGAAAUUCCUGAUUAUGCAUAUGUUGUGUCAUUAAGGAAAUUAAUACUUUUGUAUCAUAAUAUGUAUUAUUUUACAGUAAUAAUUGAAGAUUUGUGCAAGUCAAUUAAACUAUACAUGCUUGGAAAUUGCCACAUGGGACCAUCUUGAAUGAACAGUUUAUGCAAACAGAAAACAUGUUCAGGAAGAAUGUUAAAAUUUUAACACUUGUAAAUAGAAAGAAGAUGACAUUUGCCUGUCUUUGUAAUUUAUGAGGGUAUUUGCAAAUAAGCAUCAAAACAAGAAGAAAAUAUUAAAAAGACAUUUUGUGCCAGGACAUCAUGGUAGUGCUGGAUUGCCUAUCCAACUCUGUAUAAAGGUUUUUCAAACAAUUUGUGAAGAAUGUUAGUAUCUUCAGAGUCUUCUGCAUCAGCAAAGAGUAGUGCAUUAACUAAUGGAAAAGAGAAGAUAAAAUUUCUGGUGCUCAUGAUGACUAGUCCGAACCUGUGAACUUCUGAGAAAAUUUACAGUUCUGAAAACUAGAGGUGGUUACCGAAUUGAAUAGCCGUUGGUUCUACAGCCACUAUAAUGAUCUGAAAAGUUGAAUGUGUUGCAUGAACACUUUCAGGAAUCAUAAUAGAACUCAGCUAAUUAGAUAGAGACUGGAAUGUUGAUUUGAAGACAAUUACUUUAUAAAGAUUUUCUCAUUGCUGCUUUUGCAUUAUCCCAAGAAGUGGAGACACUACUACAUGGAUAAGAACUGUAUGAUUGAAUUGACUUUGGAAUCAUCUCAGUAUUGUCAUAAAAUAUUCACUGUAUGUAGUCAAUUUUUUCCUCAGAGUUGAUGGUUAUAAAUACUUGUCAAGUUGGAAAAAUUCACUUUUACUUUUAUUUGCAUCACACUUACUAGAUUAGAGACUAGAUUGCUUUAAAUUGAGUCUUCAUUUACAACUUCAAGGUAUGUCUUUCUCUUUGUAACUAAAUGACUUCGUACCUGUGCAUUCCAUAUAUUUCACUAGUAUAAUGUCUGGUAACAUCAAGUCAAUAUGUUGGUAUAUGAAAUUCAUUUUCAGAUCUUUACCCAGUAGUCUCCAUUAAAUUUCUAAAAUGGUGAAGUCCUUACUAUCAUUUGAUCAUG
rnacentral:lncRNA from 1 species